rnacentral:rRNA from 1 species
GUGCCAGCCGCCGCGGUAAUACGGAGGGUGCAAGCGUUAUCCGGAAUCACUGGGUUUAAAGGGUGUGUAGGCGGUAUUUCAAGUCAGGCGUGAAAUGUUCUUGCUUAACGAGGAACGUGCGUUUGAAACUGAAGUACUUGAAUUAGGUUGAGGUUAGCAGAAUGUGACAUGUAGCGGUGAAAUGCAUAGAUAUGUCAUAGAAUACCGAUUGCGAAGGCAGCUAACUGGCCCUAUAUUGACGCUGAGACACGAAAGCGUGGGGAGCGAACAGGAUUAGAAACCCUUGUAGUCC